rnacentral:misc_RNA from 1 species
GAAAUGCGAUACGUAGUGUGAAUUGCAGAAUUCCGUGAAUCAUCGAAUCUUUGAACGCAAAUUGCGCCCGAGGCUUCGGCCAAGGGCAUGUCUGCCUCAGCGUCGGUUUACACCCUCACUCUCUUCACCCUGUGUGAUUGAGCAGUGGAUCUGGCCCUCUCGACUCUUGCAGUCGGGUUGGCUGAAGCUGAGAGGCUUGAGCAUGGACCCGUUUGUAGGGUAAUAGCUUGGUAGGUAGGGUUUCCUACAAUCGCCUGCUGUUGCCUGAGGGAUCUUUGCUGGGAGCCUAGCAGGAAUUGGGAAGGUUUCGGCCCCCAACUCACUCUUUCGACCUGAGCUCAGGCAAGAUUACCCGCUGAACUUAAGC